CUCAUUUCAGUUACCUCAGAGGGGCCAAUCUGAGAGCCCAGCCUUCAGCACUGAAGCUUUUUCUCUUCAUUUCAAGGCAAAUUCUCGCUCUCUGAUAAACCCUCAAGCCACAGUAUCUGCUAGGCAGGAAGACUUUGAUGAAUAUAGCAUGGCGAACAUGGUGAAGAUGGGAACAUGAUGAGAAAUUUCUGGUCAUUUUCAAGUUUCCAUCUUCCUACCGACUUAGCAUGGGGGAAUCACAGCAAUAAGCUUUUCCUUCGGCCCUUCUGACUUGAUUCACUACCUCAUAUAUCUGUCAAACAUAAUCCUGGAACGGAGCAGUCACAAAAAACUGACCCAGGUCCACCACCAUGUGCUAUUAUGCAUGGAGAUAUAUGUUCAUGGCAUCCUUGGUCACCCUGGGAUUCUCCCUUCAAGAAAAUACAGAACAGUUUGCUGACUACAGUGUAUGGGAAGAGGAUGUCAUAUCUCUGCAGAUAGUCCAGGAUCGAACCAACUCUGAAAUUGAGAAGCAUAUGGACACCUUCAAGGAGAUGCAGAAAAUUUCUCCUCUUCUCCAACGCGCUACCUACACCCUCCUGGCUGGAGCUGCACCCCAGGAAAAGAGCACCUCCAUAUUCUCCCACAUGAGCAAUUACUCUGAGUCUGAGGCUGCCUGCUUUCCUGUGGAGGAAGAUAUGGACUUUGGUGAACCAGACAACCCCGCUGGUGUCGUCUUCACCAACAUGAUGACCAAGAAAGACAUCCCACAGUAUGCCUAUGUCCUGAGCGAAGACAGCUUCUCCACCCUGGAUCCUUUGGAAGGCAGCUACCUGAUGGUAAUUCUAGAUAGACCGCAAAAAGUCACCCGGAUUGUGGUAAACACGGGCUCUGAAAUCAAAGGGAUGUUCCGACUGGAGCGGGGACAAGUCCUCCUGGGCUACAACCGCCUGGAGAAUGUGAAAGGCUGUGCUCACUACACCCUUUUGGGGCCACUGGUGGCAGGGAAUUUGGACCAGAGGGUGUUUUAUGAAGAUUCUGAAGAGCAAAUAAGUUGUAUAAAACUGCUAGUGGUAGCACCUCAGGAAUCUUGGCUCCUGAUUAGAGGGAUCAAAGUCUGGGCAGAGCCUGAGGAAGAGUAGAGUGAGUGGGAGCAAUGAUGAUUCUGGUAGGAUUGGGUUUGGAAAUGGUUUGUGGAUGGACAAAUAAAUCUAAAAACUGGUAAAGCACUGCUCCUACUGAGUUGGGUGUUCAUGCAUGAUUGAUUGUCCAUGCAGUCAGUUCUCCAAC
rnacentral:lncRNA from 1 species